GCACUGGUUGUGCAUGGUGCACACGCCACUUUCAUUUGUGAGUUCGCAAAGGAUAUUUCAUGGCGAAUAUUUCAUGGCGAACGGGGUUCGAUUCCCCACUGGUGCA